rnacentral:rRNA from 1 species
GGACGAACGCUGGCGGCGUGCUUAAACACAUGCAAGUCGAGCGGUAAGGCCCUUCGGGGGUACACGAGCGGCGAACGGGUGAGUAACACGUGGGUGACCUGCCCUCCACUUCGGGAUAAGCCUGGGAAACUGGGUCUAAAUACCGGAUAGGACCAGUCGAUGCAUGUUGGUUGGUGGAAAGUUUUUUCGGUGGGGGAUGGGCCCGCGGUCUAUCAGCUUGUUGGUGGGUNAUGGCCUACCAAGGCGACGACGGANAGCCGGCCUGAGAGGGUGAUCGGCCACACUGGGACUGAGACACGGCCCAGACUCCGUACGGGAGGCAGCAGUGGGGAAUCUUGCGCAAU